rnacentral:rRNA from 1 species
UACGUAGAUGGCAAGCGUUGUCCGGAUUUACUGGGCGUAAAGAGCGCGCAGGCGGUCGGAUAAGUCGAAUGUGAAAGCCCCCGGCUCAACUGGGGAGGGUCAUUCGAUACUGUUCGACUCGAAGGCAGGAGAGGGAAGUGGAAUUCCCGGUGUAGUGGUGAAAUGCGUAGAUAGUCGGGAGGAACACCAGUGGCGUAAGGCGAGUCUCUGGACAUUUCCUGACGCUGAGGCACGAAAGCCAGGGGAGCAAACGGG